GGGUGACCCACGGAGUGACCCACAGCGACCCACGGGUGACCCACGGAGUGACCCACGGAGUGACCCAUGGAGUGACCCACAGCGCCCCACAGCCAACCAGAGUGACCCACAGCGACCCACGAGUGACCCACGGAGCCCCACCAGUGACCCACGGAGCCCCAGCAGUGACCCAUGGAGUGACCCACGGAGCCCCAGCAGUGACCCCCAGCGUCCGGCGCUGCCCCAGAGUGACCCACAGAGCUCCACGGUGCCCCACAGGGGGACCCUGCAGUGACCCCCGGCCCUGCGGCCCCACAGCGGAGCCGGCAGUGGGGCAGGGACUGACCCCCAAGUGCGGGGAAACUGAGGCACGAGUGGGGCAGGAACUGACCCCCAAGUGGGGGGAAACUGAGGCACGAGUGGGGUCUGGACUGACCCAUAAGUGGGAACAAAGUGACCCCCAAGUGGGGCCUGAACUGACCCCUAAAUGGGGGGAAACUGAGGCACGAGUGGGGCAGGGACCGACCCCCAAUUGGGGGGAAACUGAGGCACGAGUGGGGCCGGGAGUGCCCCACAGCCCCCCCUUUGUGCCCCAUAGCGGGACCAG
rnacentral:lncRNA from 1 species